AGUGAACGCUGGCGGUAGGCCUAACACAUGCAAGUCGAACGGCAGCACAGUAAGAGCUUGCUCUUACGGGUGGCGAGUGGCGGACGGGUGAGGAAUACAUCGGAAUCUACUUUUUCGUGGGGGAUAACGUAGGGAAACUUACGCUAAUACCGCAUACGACCUACGGGUGAAAGCAGGGGAUCUUCGGACCUUGCGCGAUUCAAUGAGCCGAUGUCGGAUUAGCUAGUUGGCGGGGUAAAGGCCCACCAAGGCGACGAUCCGUAGCUGGUCUGAGAGGAUGAUCAGCCACACUGGAACUGAGACACGGUCCAGACUCCUACGGGAGGCAGCAGUGGGGAAUAUUGGGCAAUGGGCGCAAGCCUGAUCCAGCCAUACCGCGUGAGUGAAGAAGGCCUUCGGGUUGUAAAGCCCUUUUAUUAGGAAAGAAAAGCAGCAGGUUAAUACCCCGCUGUUCUGACGGUACCCAAUGAGUAAGCACCGGCUAACUUCGUG
rnacentral:rRNA from 1 species